GCCAGAAGAGCAUAGUGGUGUGAGUGUUGGACUACAGCUCUGGAGACCAGGGUUCAAUCCCCAGUUGGCC